UACGUAGGCAGCGAGCGUUGCUCGGAGUUACUGGGCGUAAAGGGUGUGUAGGCGGUUCUUUAAGUUUGGUGUGAAAUCUCCCGGCUCAACCGGGAGGGUGCGCCGAAUACUGAGGGACUAGAGUAUGGGAUGGGAAAGUGGAAUUCCUGGUGUAGCGGUGAAAUGCGUAGAUAUCAGGAGGAACACCUGUGGUGUAGACGGCUUUCUGGACCAUAACUGACGCUGAAACACGAAAGCGUGGGUAGCAAACAGG
rnacentral:rRNA from 1 species